rnacentral:misc_RNA from 1 species
UUUCCGUAGGUGAACCUGCGGAAGGAUCAUUAGAGAUUUCUGGCCGAUGGAGCGCGCAAGCCUCCUCGUGCCUAAACACACACACCUGUGAACAGACCGGGAGUCGUCCCUCGGGAUGGCGACCGAACCUUUACAACUGUCGUACCAAGUCAUGAAAGCGUAACAAAAGAAAAAUAACUCUCAACGAUGGAUCUCUUGGCUCUCGCAUCGAUGAAGAACGCAGC